GACGAACGCUGGCGGUGUGCUUAACACAUGCAAGUCGAACGGUAAGGCCCUUUCGGGGGUCCACGAGUGGCGAACGGGUGAGUAACACGUGAGUAACCUGCCCUCAUCUCUGGGAUAACAGUCGGAAACGGUUGCUAAUUCUGGCUAUGAGCCUGCAAGGCAUCUUGUGGGUUGGAAAGAUUUUUUGGUUGGGGAUGGACUCGCGGCCUAUCAGCUUGUUGGUGAGGUAGUGGCUCACCAAGGCUUCGACGGGUAGCCGGCCUGAGAGGGCGACCGGCCACAUUGGGACUGAGAGACGGCCCAAGCGGCUACGGGAGGCAGCAGUGGGGAAUAUUGCACAAGGGACGGAAGGCUGAUGCAGCAACGCCGCGGGCGGGAUGACGGCCUUCGGGUUGUAAACCGCUUGCAAUUGUGACGAAGCUUUUUGUGACGGUAGCAGUAGAAGAAGCACCGGCUAACUACGUG
rnacentral:rRNA from 1 species